CGAGCUAGACACGUGAAAAACGUAUUUGAGCCAUACCUAGAAGAGCCCAGUAGGCCGAGUACAAGUCUGAGAAUCACGUAGGUUCGUCUCUGAGAAUCAGAUAAGAAUCGUAUCCUUUUAUUGAUAUUUGGUUAUGGAAUCAGUAUCAGUUAGGUUAUGGAGACGAUACUGUUCCAAAGGUGCGUACAACUGUAGAUCUAUUUACGGAUCUAUUUUUUUUGGGGGAAAGACGACAAUCACUAGUAUUCUUCUUCCUUCUUCGAGAGUUUCAUCUCUAAGGUACUAUUUCUCUAUGCAACUGAUUUCCGUGUUUGGUGAGCUCAACGGUGAGCUCGCUCUCCUCCAUGUCGCCAAAGUGUUCGCUGUUCGGUACUAACAUGGAAAAGUGAUGUCUGUCUCAACAAGCUAGUCUCUAGCGAAGUUAUUUGUGACCACAAAAGGUUUUAUGACGCCGUUGGUUUGAAGUAAGAAGACAUGGGUUGAGUGAAGCCCGAUAAUUUGAAGUGAUUACAAGUCAAGAUGAAGAUGGAAACAUAUAAAAGUUUGUAAAAAGUUGUUGCUUGCGCUUAUUUGAACUUACGUCUGUUUGUGACAAUUAAUAAAGUGUUUUGAUAUA